ACGCGUUGGGAGCUCUCCCAUAUGGUCGACCUGCAGGCGGCCGCGAAUUCACUAGUGAUUCGUAUUACCGCGGCUGCUGGCACGAACUUAGCCCGUGCUUCCUCCUGAGGUCGAUCAAGCCUUGCGGCUUUUCUCCCUCACGACAGUGCUUUACAACCCGAAGGCCUUCAUCGCACACGCGGCGUCGCUCGGUCAGGCUUGCGCCCAUUGCCGAAGAUCCUCGACUGCAGCCUCCCGUAGGAGUCUGGCCAGUGUCCCAGUGCCAGUGGCGCAGGUCGUGCUCUCACACCUGCUAAGCAUCUUGGCCUUGGUGGGCCGUUACCCCACCAACUAGCUAAUACUACGUGAGCCCCUCCCGGAGCGCCGGAGCUUUCUUGAGCAAAGGAGGCCCCUCGCUCAAGGCAUUCGGUAUUACCCAUCCGUUAGGAAGGCUAUUCCGAACUCCGGGGCAGGUUACCCACGCCUUACUGCCCCUUUCGCCAAUCGAAUUCCCGCGGCCGCCAUGGCGGCCGGGAGCAUGCGAC
rnacentral:rRNA from 1 species